UCUACUUUCCAAACGGAGGCCGAAGAAAAAGGAAAGGAAAGUGAGGUGGAAUGAGCGUGGCAAACGGCGGAGAAGUAGGGUAGGCGGCAGAGGGGGGCGGAGGAGAAGUGAGGAACAGAGCGGCGAGGCUGCCUCGAUGGAGUAGGCAAGAGAUUCUGGUGUUAAUUCAACGGAAGAGAGUGGCGGAGAGCAAUUUGGAAGGAGACUACAAGAAGAUCAAAGAAUGGGAAUCGCAGAUAACAAGGGAAGACACGACGGAGUCCUUUUGGGUGAUAGGGAACGAUUCGAGAAGAGAUAGGUAGUUGCCCGGAUUUUUUGACAGAGAGGUCUACGAUAUUCUCGACAAUGGGACCACCCUCUUCUUCUGUUACUUCCACGCCCCUGCUUCUCCCUCUUGCUCCACCAUCUUAGCCUCAGCCUCAGGACGAGGAUGAUCAUCUUCUUAAUAAUAAUAAUAAGGAGGAGGAGGAGGAGGAGGAGGACGACGAGGCUGUGUUUGACAAUGGCCGGAAUAGCUUGUUUUCGAAUUUUGCUCAGUCGGCUCAAGAGGAGGCUGCUGGCAGCCCCGAAAAGGAGUUCACCAAGACUCCACCUGCUCCUGCUCCUGUUCCAAUUCCAAUUUUGGAAACAAUACUGUGGGGGAAGUAGUUCUGGAAAUAUUCUUUGGAUCUAAUGGGGUACUCGAGAUCCUCAACUAGUAACCUGAAAAUGAAUGAACACUCCGGUCGGGUAUCGGAAUCAGCACUCCAACGGAUAAGUCGGAUAAGAUUAAUGCUGAAUAAAAGUUACGUUCCUGACUGAUCUCAUACCUACAUCCGACACUAUCGACCUCCAAUUAUUCGGCUCCCACAAAUACCAACCAUUUUCUCAACGUAAUGUUAUUCUGACUAAAUUGUAGAAACUUUAUAUGCAAGUGUCAAGCUUUUAUAUUUGUUUCCUCCUCUGUUCGUUAUUUAAAAAACCAUAUUCAUUGGUAUAGUUUAUGUUAGAUAUGGUGCUUGCUUUGGAUGAUUUGGGACAACACUUUUUAAUUGGCUCACAAUUCCAAGUAUAUUUGUUGCUGCUUCGAUUGUGUUAAUGAACUUGUACAUUAAGAAAACAGAAAAACCAUCUUAGUGGUUCAUGUAUCGCAAACACGCACUGCAUUAGUAGUAAUUUAGAGGUGUCAAAAAUACAGUUCUAGUCCAUCGUUGUCAUGCCAACGUUUUCUUGAUUGAUUUUUUAAUAAUGCAAACCGGGAUGAGUCAAUAAGGCAUUAUAAGAGUGACUAUUUCUCAUUUUUGGUGGUUCUAAUUUGACAUGGGGUUCCCUUUCUAGUAACAUUUCCACAUCAGGCUAUAGAAUUGUAGCAAGUGGAAGUUUUUUGUUCAACUUGGAUUGAUAUGCUUUUUGGUUGACGGUACUCUCAAACUAGUUUCUUAAGAAUGAUCCUAUAGUGACCAAAAGUGUUGUUUAACACCUUCACUGGCUCAUCCCUCAUUCAAAUUUGUCAAUUUUGAGUGUUUUCCAUGUGUAUAGAGGAAAUUCGGUCAAAGCCUGGCUGAUAGAAUUUUGAUGUACCUUCCUAUGUGCAUCUUUUGUCUAGCUCGCUCAAUGUUAGACCACGAUUAUCCAAAUGGAGUCUGACUAGGGUAUAUUUGGUGUGGAGUCUUUUUCGAUCAUAGGAUUUGUCACAACUUAUUGUACCACAGGUAGGAAUUAUAACAGUUGGAUAAUGGUUUGCAAAUAAUUUUGGUUCGAUCAGGUCAAUUUUCAGUAUCAAUAUAUCCAAAUGUAGGACCCCACUUCCUUAUCUUCAUGAAUUUGGUCAUUUGGGUAAUCUGUAUGGCCCUGGCAAAGGUAUAACCAUCUUAUUUAUUCAUUUUGUCAAAGUCAGGUUCUUUGUCUAGUUUAACACAUCAAUUUUCAGCCCUACUCAAGCACAGAUCUUAACUAGUGCUAAAUUGUUUUGGUUAUUGAUAGCUUCUAUCUGAAAUUAUCGAAAUGUUUAAAAGAAAUAAAUAAAGGAAUAGCUGAAAAUAUAAGUGCACACGAUCAUGGUACCUUUUCUAUUUCUUUAUGUCUCCUCUAUGGGAAGAGGGGAUGAUAAGUGGCGUGGUAUACCUGAUCUUUUACUCAACAAAACAUAUGCAAGUUGACAAAACUCCAUGUAUAUACUCUUUGCAACUAAAUAGAAUGAAAUGAAAUAUUGGUAAGCCGAGGGUGCACUAAAAUUAUAAUUUGGAGUUUCAUCAAAAUAUAAUACCUUAUUUUCUGUGCCAGAAAAAUGUACUUUAUAGUUUAUAUAAUGUGGAGUCGUGGUUUUGUUGCGCGCUGGGCUAAGCUUUUGUUC